ACCUGUCUGGCUCAGUCGGUAGAGCAUGUGACUCUUGAUCUCAGGGUUGUGAGUUCAAGCCCCACAAUGGGUG
rnacentral:tRNA from 1 species